rnacentral:rRNA from 1 species
AUUGAACGCUGGCGGCAUGCUUUACACAUGCAAGUCGAACGGCAGCGGGGGCUUCGGCCUGCCGGCGAGUGGCGAACGGGUGAGUAAUGCAUCGGAACGUACCCAGUCAUGGGGGAUAACGUAGCGAAAGCUACGCUAAUACCGCAUACGCCCUGAGGGGGAAAGCGGGGGAUCGCAAGACCUCGCGUGAUUGGAGCGGCCGAUGUCGGAUUAGCUAGUUGGUGGGGUAAAGGCCUACCAAGGCGACGAUCCGUAGCGGGUCUGAGAGGAUGAUCCGCCACACUGGGACUGAGACACGGCCCAGACUCCUACGGGAGGCAGCAGUGGGGAAUUUUGGACAAUGGGCGCAAGCCUGAUCCAGCCAUGCCGCGUGAGUGAAGAAGGCCUUCGGGUUGUAAAGCUCUUUCAGACGGAAAGGAAACGGGGGUGUUAAUACCGCCCCUGGAUGACGGUACUGUCAGAAGAAGCACCGGCUAACUACGUGCCAGCCGCCGCCGUAACAC